rnacentral:rRNA from 1 species
UACGGGGGGGAGCAAGCGUUGUUCGGAUUUACUGGGCGUAAAGGGCGCGUAGGCGGCGUGACAAGUCACUUGUGAAAUCUCCGGGCUUAACUCGGAACGGUCAAGUGAUACUGUCGUGCUAGAGUACAGAAGGGGCAACUGGAAUUCUCGGUGUAGCGGUGAAAUGCGUAGAUAUCGAGAGGAACACCUGCGGCGAAGGCGGGUUGCUGGGCUGGAUACUGAGCUGAGGCGCGAAAGCCAGGGGAGCGAACGGG